rnacentral:tRNA from 6 species
GGCUCAGUAGCUCAGUUGGAUAGAGCAACCGCCUUCUAAGCGGUAGGUCGUGGGUUCGAAUCCCCCCUGGGUCACCA